UAGGCUUUCUUAUUUAAAAGGGGGAGUUUUCUAAAUCAUAGGGAGAAGCAUUUCAUUCUUUUUGUAGCAUUAUUUCUUUUUUCUUUUACCAAUAGAAAAACUUAGGCAAAUUUUGGAGAGAAAAGCCCUCUUCUUUCUUGAUUUUGUAUUUUGAAGAAUGAAUUGGUUUGUGGAUGGAUUCAAAUUAGGUUUAUUGGAAGGAGUAGGAAUUGGGAGACCUUCAAUGUUGUCCAAGAAUUGUACAAAUUAAUUUGGUAUGUUGGAAGUUCUUUGCAUUUUCAUUUUGGAGAAAAAUGAGGGUCAGCGGUUCUUCGUGCCAUGAACAACUCCAAGGAAGCAUAAUUGCUUCGUGGUUGGGCGAAAAAGCGCUCUGGCAAUGUUCUCGCCCAAGGUGUGCUCAUGGGAGAUAGAUGUCAGAAUCUCUUAUUAGGAUUAUAAUAAGCUAUGUACAUUAUGUAUUAUUAUAAUCAAUCUUAUAAAUGAAAUAAUUUUCUUAUGUUUGACUA